GCUCAGAAACUUAAAGGAAGUUGACGGGGGCCCGCACAAGCGGUGGAGCAUGUGGUUUAAUUCGAUGAUACGCGAGGAACCUUACCUGGGCUCAAAUGUAUGUUGACGUAUUCUGAAAGGGAUACUUCUUCGGACAAUAUACAAGGUGCUGCAUGGUUGUCGUCAGCUCGUGCCGUGAGGUGUCGGGUUAAGUCCCAUAACGAGCGCAACCCCUAUCAUUAGUUGCCAUCAGGUCAAGCUGGGGACUCUAAUGAAACUGCCUACGCAAGUAGUGAGGAAGGUGGGGAUGACGUCAAAUCAUCAUGCCCCUUAUGAUCUGGGCUACACACGUGCUACAAUGGCCGGUACAACGGGCAGCGAAGGAGCGAUCCGGAGCGAAUCCUAAAAAGCCGGUCCCAGUUCGGAUUGCAGGCUGAAACUCGCCUACAUGAAGUUGGAGUUGCUAGUAAUCGCGAAUCAGAAUGUCGCGGUGAAUGCGUUCCCGGGUCUU
rnacentral:rRNA from 1 species